GCCUCUGUGGACUGUGGGAGUCACCUCAAGCCCGUGAGCCGAUUUCUAAUGUCCAGUAUUGAGGAGAUGGGGGUUCGAUUCCCCCCAGAGGCA